AGUUUUGCGCAGUGGCAGUAUCUUAGCAAUGAGGUUUAUCUGAGGCGCGUUUAUUGCUAACUGAAAACACAAAGGACCGCUCAUCUCAGUGGGAAGUAUAGGUUCUGGUCUGCAACA
rnacentral:snRNA from 1 species